UGCUGGAAGCGAGCAGCGGGCGUCCCCCAAAACGUUUUCUUCUUAAUCCUUCUGAAAACGGUAUAAAGCGUUUACCCUCAGAGUUGGCUUUUACUUCACGGGAAACUCUAAAGGGUUCCUGGAUUUUAGGGAUUCCAUUUCCUAAAGGAAUUGAUGCUUUUGAACUGUGGUGCUGGAGAAGACCCUUGAAAGUCCCUUGGACAGAAAGGAGAUCAACCCUGAAUGUUCACUGGAAAGACUCAUGCUGAACCUGCCAAUACUUUGGCCACCUGAUGCAAAGAGCCAACUGGUUGGAAAAGACCCUGAUGCUGGGAAAGAUAGAGGGCAGGAGCAGAAGGGGAUGACAGAGGAUGAGAUGGUUGGAUGGCAUCACUGACUCAAUGGACAUGAAUUUGGGCAAGCUCUGGGAGAUCGUGGAGGACAGGGAAGCCUGGUGUGCUGCAGUCCAUGGGGUUGCAAAGAGUCAGACACGAGGGAUCUUCCUGACUCAGAGAUUGAACCCACAUUUCCUGUGUCUCCUGCAUUGGCAGGUAAAUUCUUUACCACUGAGCCAUCUGGGAAGCCCAGUAUUCUGUGUACCAGUUAUCUACUGCUGCAUAAAUUGCCUCUAAACUAGUGGUUUAAAACCACGAUAAAUAUUUAUCAUCUCACAUAGUCUCUGUGGUUUGAAAUUUGGUGUCAGCUGGAGCUGAAGUCAUCUGGAAGCUUGACCGAGGCUGCAGGAUUCACUUCCACGACAGCUCAGUCCCACAGCGCUGAGUCCGUUUACACGUGGUUCUGUCCACUGGCAGCUUGAGUGGCCUUAUGACGUGGUGGCUGGCUUUUCCCAGGGUGAGAAAAUUAAGAUUAAAGACACGAAGAAACUUUCCCAGUGUUACCUAGUCGGCACAUGGCAGAGCUGGAAUUCAAACCUAGGAAGUCUGACUCCACAGCACAAGCUCUCAUCUAUUACUUUCACUGUCUUUCUUUCUCAUGGACUUGGGAGCUGGGGUUAAAUACAAGCUUGAGAAGAUUCUACAGGUGUAGCAACCAGUGAAAAAGCCUGUUAGUAUUUAGGGCACAUUCAGACAAAAAUAGCGUCCAGCAGAGAUGUUAUCUGUGCUGUUCAGAUUGUAUUUGGAGUGGUGUGUUGAAGUUUGGAUGAUUUUUUUUUUUUUUUUUGGAUGAUAUAUUUUUUUUAACAGGCACUAAGAAACUGGACCUGGAGGAGGAAAUGGCAACCCACUCCAGUAUUCUUGCCUGGAGAAUCCCAUGGACAGAGGAGCCUGGCGGACCACAGUCCAUUGGGUCAGAAAGAAUUGGACAUGACUGAAGCGUCAAGGCUGUAUAUUUUCACCCUGCUUAUUUAACUUAUAUGCAGAGUACAUCAUGAGAAACACUGGGCUGGAGGAAGCACAAGCUGGAAUCAAGAUGCCGGGAGAAGUAUCAAUAAUGUCAGAUAUGCAGAUGACACCACCCUUAUGGCAGAAAGUGAAGAAGAACUAAAGAGCCUCUUGAUAAAAGUGAAAGAGGAGAGUGAAAAAGUUGACUUAAGGCUCAACAUUCAGAAACCUAAGAUCAUGGCAUCUGGUCCCUUCACUUCAUGGCAGAUGUGGAAACAGUGGCUGACUUUAUUUUUCUGGGCUCCAAAAUCACUGCAGAUGGUGAUUGCAGUCAUGAAAUUAAAAGAUGCUUACUCCUUGGAAGGAAAGUUAUGACCAACCUAGACAGCAAAUUAAAAAGCACAGACAUUACUGUGCCAACAAAGGUCUGUCUAGUCAAGGCUAUGGUUUUUCCAGUGGUCAUUUAUGGAUGUGAGAUUUGGACUAUAAAGAAAGCUGGAGCACCUAGGAAUUGAUGCUUUUGAACUGUGGUGUUGGAGAAGACUCUUGAGAGUCCCUUGGACUCCAAGGAGAUCCAGCCAGUCCAUCCUAAAGGAGAUCAGUCCUGGGUGUUAAUUGGAAGGACUGAUGUUGAAGCUGAAACUCCAAUAUUUUGGCCACCUGAUGCAGAGAGCUGACUCAUUUGAAAAGACCCUAAUGUUGGGAAAGAUUGAAGGCAGGCGGAGAAGAGGAUGACAGAGGAUGAGAUGGUUAGAUGGCAUCACGGACUCAUUGGACAUGAGUUUGGGUAGACUCCUGGAGUUGGUGGUGGAUGGGGAGGCCUGGUAUGCUGUGGUUCAUGGGGUCACAAAGAGUCGGACACAACUGAGCAACUGAACUGAACUGAACUGAGGCGACUUAGUAUGCUUGCAUGCAACAAACUGGAAAUGACUAUGAUAACAAGAGAGGUUGGAAGCAAUCUCAAAAGAGCAACAGCUGAAAAGUUUUGAUUUGAUGAAGGGCUGCCUGCAAAGGGUUGGAGAGAUAGAUGUCUUUGGGAGAGGUUGAUUGUCCAGCAGGUUUACAAUACUUUGGUCUAAUCAAUAUGGAUACUGACUCUGUUCCCCAGACUUACAGGUCCAAGAAUAUCACUGUAUCAGUUAAUCAACAUUCAGAGGUGAUCAUGUAUGUGCUAAUUGACCCACACUAACCAAACUUCUAAUAGGCGAAUACAUAUACCUGAAUGCCAGUUACUUAAAAUUAGGAACAUAAGCACCAAACAGAUUUUAUACAUAUAUUUGCUGAUCAGAGCAUCUUUUGUGUGUGUGUGUGUGUUGGGAGGGGCUUACAUUCUUUCGUCAGAAUGUAUAUAACACUGUGGUAAGCUAACUUGUCAGCUUGCAAGUAGGGUAAAAUCACAGGCCUUUUACAGUUUCUGACUUAGAAUGAUGGUCAAAAAUUGAUACAUCAUAAAUUAAAAAAAAUAUUGAUAUCUCAUGGGCUUUCCUGGUGAUCUAGUGGCUGAGACUCUGUGCUCCCAAUCCAGGGGACCUGGUCAGAGAACUAAGUCCCACAUACAGCAACUAAGAGUUUGCAUGCAGCAACUAAAAAUGCCAUAUGCCACAAUUAAGACCUGGCUCAGCUAAAUAAAUAAAUGUUUAAAAAUUUGAUUUCUCACUAUUUUAUUAACUUGAUUUAUUAACUUUCAUUAACUUUAUAUCAUUAUUUUAUUAACUAAAUUUAAUCAUAUGAACAAUAGUUCAUAUAUGGUUUUGAAUAUUUGUAUGUGGUCAUCUGCAAGUUGUAUGUUUAUUUGAUUGGGUUAUUUUUAAUUAGAUGGUUGAUUUUUUUUUUUUUUUUACAGUGUAAGGGUUUUAAAAAUUUAUUUGUGACAUUAGGCAAAAUUAUUUAAAGUCAGUACAUUAUUUAAAGAAUUUUACAUGUGAUUGCUUCCACUGUCCAUCAAAGUCACUUUAGUUCCUCCAAAGCUUGAGUCAGGGUUUAUCUUCAAGACAGCCCUUUUCCCAUCCCCAAAGUUUUACUUUAUUUCAAUCUCUAAAUGAUGCCAGGCGCUGAUCCUAGGAUUGAGUACAGAGUUCCAAGAGUAGCAUGAACUUUUAGUGUCAUUUCCAUAUUCCUGAAUGGUGUGAAAUUGGAAAAGACCUUUACCUUCUAUGAAGAUGCAAUUAAUGGAAGAUUGUCUGUGAGCCUCAAAGAAUAAUAAAUAAAUAAUGCACAUACAUACUUUCAUCAGUUUAACUUAAACAGAUAGGUGUAAUAGCUCACAAAUAUUUGUAUGUAGGACCAAGGUCUUUGGAUGUUGAACACCACGUAAUCAUUCUCCAAUAAAUAAUCUGUAAUUGAUCAUUUUUAACUUUUAGUGUCUUCAAAAGGGAUGAUAAUUUAAAAAGAAACUUGGGGGGCUUCCUUGGUGGUCCAGUGGUUAAGAACCUGCCUUUGAAUGCAGGGGACACAGGUUCAGUACCUGGUCAGAGAACUAAGAUCCCAUACGCCGUGGGGCAGCUAGGCCUGCAUGCCACAGCUGCAGAGCCCAAGCACUACAACGGAGAUCCUGCGGGUUGCAGCUAAGAUCCAAGGCACUCAAAAACUAAAUAAAUAAAUAUUAAAAAAAAAAAAGAAACCUGGGAAGCAAUUUUAAGAAGAUAUCUCUUUUUAAAAGAAUCUAUGCCCAAUCCACAGUUGUCCUGUCAGUCAGCCCAUAAUUCUUUUAGUUGGACUUCUUUUGUCUCCACUUGAAUAUACACACACUGGUAAUAUCAAACAUUUCCCUACCUAGGAUCUUUGGGACCUAGUUCUUCAAGUAAUUUACUUUGGGGUGACUUGUAGGGUCAGUGUAGAUGGAUUUGCCUAGGUUUUCAAUUUCAGACACCCUGUAAACCUAAUGAGUUCAAAUCAUAUACACUUCAAAGCUAUUACACCCAAGAAUAAUACAGACUGUGGGAUAUGUUAAUACCUAAGGUAGAAAAAUGAAUUACUAGGUCUCCCAUACUUUUAGUGAUUCUUAUAGUUCUUUCCAGGGAUCUAACAAAUCGUUCUGUGAAUGAAGCAAAACCACCCAGUUAACUCCAUGAGGCAUCUCCAACAAUGUGCGCAUGCGAGUCUAUAGGAAAAACCCCAUAGGGAUAGACGUCAACUCUUGGGUUGUUUUUUCAGUGAUCGAUAGAUUCUUUGUAUGAAUAUAUAUAUAUUUAAAAUAUUUGUCUGUAUUUAGAUAACUCAGAUAA